rnacentral:rRNA from 1 species
UACGUAUGGAGCAAGCGUUAUCCGGAUUUACUGGGUGUAAAGGGAGCGUAGGCGGCUCUGUAAGUCUGAUGUGAAAAUUUGGGGCUCAACCCCAAACGUGCAUUGGAAACUGCAGGGCUUGAGUGCCGGAGAGGCAGGCGGAAUUCCUAGUGUAGCGGUGAAAUGCGUAGAUAUUAGGAGGAACACCAGUGGCGAAGGCGGCCUGCUGGAUGGUAACUGACGCUGAGGCUCGAAAGCGUGGGGAGCAAACAGG